AGUAACACCGUUAACUACUGUUGUUGUUAUUUAGUUCCUAGUAGUACAUAACCUUUAGAGUGUCAUUAAAAAAUCCGUAAUUAGACGAGCAUAGAAAAAUAUCUAAUUGUGGUAAAUAACAAUUGCUAGGUCAAUAAAACCUUUUAGCAUUCGAAAGAAGUAGGCAAUAUCACACAAUCGCCCAUUCACUCACCUAUUUUAUGAUAUAUCAUCGUCAUGCUGAUCGUAAUAAACAUUUUAAUAAUGUUUUACGAUCAUUUGUUAAGCGAUUUGUGAUAUUUGCAAUGCAGUGACCCAUCCUAUUGGUGGGACUAUAUAUUACAACAACCAACAAACUACAACAGUGAACAAAAGUAGCUCUUCUAAUUUACAUUUUGUCUAUUUCUUUAUUUUGUUUCCUAUAUUUAUACGAUUUCAUUAAAUUAUAAAAGCAAGCAUGCAAACCUCAUACGCGAGUGUGUACAUUAUCUCUGUAGCGAGCUCGUCUAUGUUGUAACAACUGAACCAACAAGCGAUAAGAAUUAAAUUAUUUAGCAGCAAUUUUUCUUUUGUUAAAUUGUAGGCGUUUUACACCUAAUUAAAAAUUAAACGAAGGCUAGGGUCGUAGUUUCGGUUCAAUAUCGUGAGAAAAAUAAACAAUAAUAUCUUUGCGGAUUUUAACUAGCUAUAAUAAACUGUUAACAAUAGUGAACUUCCUGCAAAGCCGUCUCCAUAAACACACGUUAAUCGGUUAAGUUUGUUUUUACGAUUAUCGAAGCAAAGUUUAGUUUUUAGUUCCGAUUUUUUCGAUCUACGGAAACUUUUUUUGAUUAUGUAUCAAGUUGCCUAAGGAGGGAAAAAUGUGUCGUAAAUGUGAGUCAGCUUGGUGAGGUUGUAUGACUAAGAGCGUUUGAUGAAUGCGAAGGUAAGCUUAGGGGUUCGGGACUUUUGCCAGCAACACCUUUCUAACAGGAAAUGUCUUUUUUCAUAAACGAGCGAGGAAGCACAAAAUAGACUCAUACAAUUCUCUAUAAUGUGUUUUCCUUUACAUUUACAUUUAACCACUCUACGUCUUACUUUUAAAUACUAUUCGAUUGAAUUACAAUUGAAGAGAGAAUCGCUCAUUAGACUUCAAGAAAUUGGAUGAUUUGGACGUAACUUAAAAGUGGAUAAAACGAAAAAAUCAUCAAAUUUCUUGUUUUAUUAGAAUGCAUUAAAAACCUUUUAAAUAAAAAGUAUUGAAUGUUUUAAUUUUUAAGGAGAUACUAUUUUGCCCCGCAGUGCUUAUACAAACAUUGCAAGUAAUGUCGCGGUUAAAUGUUAGCUUUUAUGUAUAAUUCGUAUAAGUAUCGCGCAAUUUAACCACUCAUAGUUAUUAUAAGGAAAAUGUUACUGUGAAUAACUCAAUUUUAUGCAGGAAAAUUAUUGAUUUUUCGACCGAUAUGGUUAAGUGCGUGUAUUAUCUUGGUUAAAAGAAAGUCCCAAUAUGUUUCUUCACGCCCCUUAGUAGGCGAUUGGUCUACUAUAAGGAUUAUUCCACACGGAAUACACCAGCUAUCUCCCAUUAUCCUGUAUCUACUUCAACUCGGGGCGUCUUCCAUUUCAACCGCUACGCGCCAGAGUUUACUUUUUGACAGCCUUCCACGCAAAUAUUGCUAGCGUUAUUUUAUGUGCUGUCACUGUCAAUGCACUAUCUGUGGCACUUGACAGACGUGUUAUGGAGGGUGCAAUGCUGGCCAGCUCAAGUGGUCCGUGUGGGUGGUUAUCUCUGUCUCUCUAUGCGAAUGGUGCUACCCCUCUUCUUGUUGGAUGCAACUAUGUAUUAUCCUUGCUUACUAUACCAGUAAUACAUCUUUUAUUGUGUGGCAAAGCUCCAACUCCUUCUAUGGAAGAUCUAAAAACAGCAGCAGUUACAGCAGUUUUGCCCUAUUUAAUGGGAAUUUGUGGUGCAUCAAAAGCGCAGAACAGCCGAACGUCCAGCAAACUUGCAGCGUUAGUGCUGUUAUAUGUGGACUGUUGUAAUUUGCUGCGGGAGGCAGAAGGGGCUUUGUAUGUGUCCGAUGUCUUCACCGCAUUGGUCCUUGUGGCCAGUUGGCUGAGCACAGUAGCGGCAUCGAGCUGUUUAUACGUUAAAUGUAGAGCUCUGGACAUUUACGAAGCUCAAUUAUUACAGCUCGUAGCGACACCAAAGUCGAGAUUUGAUUGGAUUUCAUCAACUUGUCCCAGAGAGGGAUUAUACCUACUUCCGAACGUGUUCCUUGUCCCGGCGCAGGCUUUUUUACUGUCAUCUAUAUUUUAUGACACUGAUUUAUCUAACCUACCUUUAUAGUUGUAUUAACAUUGACAAUGAACAUGAAUUAAAUAUACUAAAUGCGACCUAACACAUAAGGGUUCGAUUUUCUUAACUAAUCUUUGAUAAAAUUUGAUUCAUGUCUGCGAACUUCACUUUAUUGGUUUCAAACACGUGCCUCAACUUAGUAACUGUAUGUAUGUUAGUUUUUUUAAUCUAAAUCAGCUAAAUUGCAAGUUAGGGAACAAAUUGAGUUAAUUAAAAACUGGUUCAACAGUUUUUAAGAUGUGUUGAAUAGAUACAUUUUAAUUAUUCGUAGCAAUAGUUAUUAGUUAUAGAUUAAUCGUCAGAAGUGUCUUAGAUUAAAAAAUAUUUUAAGUAAAUAAAAUGUAUUGAAUCAUUUCGUCUAUUUUCAAUUAUACAUAUGUAUAAUGAAAAUAAUCUUAUGACUGAAAUAGACAUCUUAAGUAGACAAAGAGAUAAACAGAGGCCUACAAGAAGCAUGUGAUUUAUAUCAAAUAACGGCUUUGUUUAAUUGUGUUACCUACCAUGUGUGUGAUAACUUUAUUUAGCAAACUCGUUGUGAAUGAAAAUUACCCAAGUACAAUAAUUAAGUUAAAUUAGGAUCUAAUACUUUGACAAAUGACUUGUUUUGAUUAAUAAAAUACUGUUUUAUUCAAAGUUUUUAUAAUAGUUGUUAAGAAUCUAAAAUAAUCACUAAGCUGGCACUCCUCUCGCCGUUGCACUCUACCUGUAACGUAAGGGACCUAAGUUUUAUUGUGAAAGUCUAAAAAGCAAUGAAAAAGAUAUAUCGAUUUUAACAAACGACACUCAAACUAGAUUACACAACGCAAACGUGUUUUAAACACUUAAGAUUAAUAAUAGUAUUAAGUAAUAUAAUUAUAUCAAAAUACACGCCAUGAACCAACAAUGCUUGCUGUAGGUAUGGGUAUUAAAUGAUGCUAUUUACAUUUUAUUUGUUGAUAUGACACCUGUUCUUUAAAUAUUAUUAAAAUCACAAUAUUUGGAUUUUGUGUUUUGCUUUUUGUCUACAUAUUUCUUACUUUUAAAAAACUAGAAAAUUCUCAUUUA